UACGUAGGGGGCAAGCGUUGUCCGGAAUCAUUGGGCGUAAAGCGCGUGUAGGCGGCUGGGGAAGUCCGCUCUGAAAGCCCGGGGCUCAACCCCGGGAGGCGGGUGGAUACUGCUCAGCUCGAGUCCGGAAGAGGAGUGUGGAAUUCCUGGUGUAGCGGUGAAAUGCGCAGAUAUCAGGAGGAACGCCGAUGGCGAAGGCAGCACUCUGGGACGGUACUGACGCUGAGACGCGAAAGCGUGGGGAGCAAACAGG
rnacentral:rRNA from 1 species